CGGGUAGCGGAACACGUACAGAACCUCCUUCGAGUGGGGAAUAGCCCGAAGAAAUUCGGAUUAAUACCCCAUAGUAUUAUGAAGUGGCAUCACUUUAUAAUUAAAGAUUUAUUGCUUGAAGAUGGCUGUGCGCCUGAUUAGGUAGUUGGCGGGGUAACGGCCCACCAAGCCUGCGAUCAGUAACUGGUGUGAGAGCACGACCAGUCACACGGGCACUGAGACACGGGCCCG
rnacentral:rRNA from 1 species